rnacentral:misc_RNA from 1 species
GUCUGACUCAUACCGAGGCUGAAAUGAAACGUCAGCCACUGUGAAAUGUGAAUGGAAGAUCCAAACCAUGAUUCCACCGCCACCGCUACCAGCGGCGCCACCGGCACAACAACCGCCGCUGUUAACUGGGACGAUCUCCCUGAGCAUCUCAUCCUCCACAUCCUUUCUUUCCUGCCCACCCUAGACACUAUCACAACGAGUUUGGUCUCCAAAAAAUGGUGCCCUCUCUGGUCAUUAAUUCCCUCCCUAAACUUCUCCUACUCUGAUUUCCCUCCCUACAAUACCCCCUCCACCACCCGCCAAUUCUUCGCCGAAUUCAUCGACCGCACCCUCGUUUGCCGCUCCCAUUCGCCUCUCAUCAAAUUCCGCCUCGAAUUCAUCUAUGAAGAUCGCUACGGUUUCCAUGUCGAUUCCUGGAUUCGUUAUGCGAUCAAGAACGGAGCUCAAGAGCUCGUUCUUGAUUUCUUCAUCGAUAAAAGUUUCCAUGUCGAGGAACCCCAUUCGUGGGAUACUUACGAUUUUCCCUUCUCCACUAUGAGAAAUGGGAAGGUU